CAGGAGAGUGUCAUUAACACCCUCCCCACCCCUUUCCUCCUCUGCCUCCCCUCAGCAGCUCUCCCAUCCCCCUCCUCCAGCAGGACAGCCCCGACUAGCCACUCCUUGAGCCAGGGGCCUUUAGCCCCCUUCCAACACUUGGACCCCACUGGGCCGUGCAAAGUUGGACUUGGGUCCGGUGCGCCCUUAACCCUUCCGCCAACAGCACCACCUCCCCCUUACUCUAACCCUUCUGAUCCCGGGGAGCCCGCCUCAUAUUUAUAGUCCCGGGCUCCAUUGCACUUGGCUGGACCUGACGUCAGGAAGAACUUGAUCUAGCCUGCUUCGCUCCUGCGUCUGAAACUGAUCCUUGAAAUGAGAGAACAGACUCUACACAAUUCCCAUGGCCUUGACAUAAGUGUUUUACCCUGAAGUUGUCAAACUGUGUCAUUCCAAUGUAAUGUGACAGAAACAACCUGCCCUGAUGGAAGCCACUCCUGCGGCAGGUUCAAGUAAAUUCGGAUCCAAUGGACUGGAUCCAAUGAAUAUUGAAGUCAAUUAACAGACUUUUGCUGACUUAACAAGGGCUUAUGUGGGAAGGUUAAACUGCUUUUGCUGAUGUGUUU